CAUAUGGGUGGUAUCAGGUUAAUGCACACCUGUCCCACAGGCUCCACCUUGAAAAUUUACCCACAAUGCAUUUUUCCUCUAAGUCAAAGACAUCAAACUGUGAUAUGUGUCCUCAUACUGAUGCUCACUGCAUCAGCAACAUUGUGAGUUUUGCAGUGGGUGUAAAAGUGUUUGCAGUUUUUCAGCCCUGAAAGUUUUCUGGACUUAUGAAGUAAAGAAAAAUAAUUCAAAAGGGUCAAAUUUGUAGUUUUAACUCAUUUAGGUGGAACACCUUCAUUUAAAAUGUAAAUCUUUGUUUGGCAGACACACUGACCCUGAGGUCAUGUGGCUCACUGGCUUCACAUCAAACCUGCAGAGUCCAACUUAUCAUCAUCGCAGUAUGUGUGAGGACGUGUUGGAGUUGGUGCAUGGCGUACGCCUUCAGUGGACCUCGCCUCUCGCCCUUGCACAGCCGGGAUAGGCUCCAGAAUUUGUGCAUAUGUUCAUGGCCUUAUGUUUAGCUUGUCUGAGGGCUGCAGUUCACACUCCACACCAGCCGGUGGCGGCAACGCACCAUGUCGUUGUUUUCCAUCCACCAAUACAUUUCGAGCAGCCGGGGUGGUGGCCGCUGAUUGGUCGGCGGAGCGGACUCGAGGCUUCUUAUCGGAUCAGUCUUCAAUAAUCAGUCAUGAUCCGAGCUUCACGUGCGUCUGAGACGUAGACCGGGAACGGGACGGGACGUGGUCGACCAGUGACCGUGCGUGGAUAUAGAACAGCUGCUGUGCGGCUCCGCUCCGGUCAGCAGUGGCUCACAGGAGCAGUUCACUCCCUCCUCCACCUGUGGUCCACAGUCACUCCGUCCCACACUGCUGUCUGGUGCUGCUAACAACUCCAGCCAGCAGGGGGCAGCAGGUGGUUUUACCUGAAGUCAUUACAGCUGAAGUUCUGUGUCUGUGAAUGAUGCAUGCUGGGAAAACGGACCGAGAGCCGCUGUGACAUCAGCACAGGUGGCUCUGCUCUCUGAUUGGAUCCUGAGCUGUGAUGUCAUCGGGGCGCCUCAGCCACAAAGUUUCCUGGCGGCGUCCUGUGUGAGCGCGGUGUCAGGAUGGUCUGUGGCUGUGCCGCAGGAAAGAGGAGUCGUCCUGACCACGCCUCUCUGCGGUCUGUGAGCCCAGCUUUGGAUCAUGUGAUCCAGCUGGAUUAGAGCGAUCCUGUCCACUUAUUAGCUGUGUCCGAAUUCAGGGGAAGGAUGCUCCGAAGGACGGGUAGUCAGGAAGUGAGCGGCUGUAGACAGCCCCCCUUUUUUUUUUUUUUUUUUUUUUUUUUUUUUUUUUCCCAAUAUAGAAACUUUAUUGAACAAACAAUGAGUAUACAACAUAACAGAUGGGCUGUGGACAGCCUUCAUUCAAGUCCACCCUUACUUCCAUGUUUUUCCGGUCGCUAGCACCACAGCGCGAAAACUUUAAAAUGGACCCAGAAAUGUCGCUUUGUGUUUUGUUUUGUUUUGGUUUUUUUUUUUUUUUUUUUUUUUUACAUUUUUAAUUCUCAAGGAGCCAGAAAAACCUUAUCGUCGUCGCCCGCAUGUUUUGUACCUUAGGCUCAUCAGAGACAAUCAUAUCCAGGUAAAAUAAUUUCCUUUAAUCUACACGCAUUUAGGAAUUACUUGGCUAAUUACACGGAUAAUUGAAAUAUCGCUGGUGUUAUGCCAAAAAAGUGUUCGCCUGCCAAAACUGAUUUCCAAUGUUUCCGUGUGUAAUAUGUGUAAUAUCUUUAUGUAUGUUGGUAAAUAGACUUCGAUGAACACUGUUUACAAAGGGGUUAUGUUUUUCAAGUAUCUUUAUAACUCUGGUUAUAAUGUAGGUACAAUUGAUAUAUGUGUUGCGCUGUCUGCUGUCCUCUUGGCCAGAUUACUCUUAAAAAAAUUUUUUUUUUAAUGUCAACAAGAUUUUUUGUGAACUGGAUAAAUAAAGGAUAUAUAAAAGUCACUGCCAAAAACUGAUUGCAGCUUCUACCUUGUUACAGGAAUGUUGCUGGUGGAUCAAAGUGACUUGAUAUCACUAAUGAGGGACACAUUUGACAUGUUUCACGUAUUAUAGACCAACAAGUUAUUCAUAGCAGGUUAAAUACGAGCAAUCAGUUUAGGCCGAAAACCGGAAAUCAGUUUUUGGCACAACAUCGGUCAUUCUCACAC